rnacentral:rRNA from 1 species
GAUGAACGCUGGCGGCGUGCCUAAUACAUGCAAGUCGAGCGAACAGACGAGGAGCUUGCUCCUCUGACGUUAGCGGCGGACGGGUGAGUAACACGUGGAUAACCUACCUAUAAGACUGGGAUAACUUCGGGAAACCGGAGCUAAUACCGGAUAAUAUAUUGAACCGCAUGGUUCAAUAGUGAAAGACGGUUUUGCUGUCACUUAUAGAUGGAUCCGCGCCGCAUUAGCUAGUUGGUAAGGUAACGGCUUACCAAGGCAACGAUGCGUAGCCGACCUGAGAGGGUGAUCGGCCACACUGGAACUGAGACACGGUCCAGACUCCUACGGGAGGCAGCAGUAGGGAAUCUUCCGCAAUGGGCGAAAGCUUGACGGAGCAACGCCGCGUGAGUGAUGAAGGUCUUCGGAUCGUAAAACUCUGUUAUAGGGAAGAACAAAUGUGUAAGUAACUAUGCACGUCUUGACGGUACCUAAUCAGAAAGCCACGGCUAACUACG